CAGGAGCACUAUAUUAAAACAGUUUACAAAUUAGACGGACUAAAUUUCAUAUUUUGGAACUUUAGAGACCUCUCAGAAAAGGAGGAUAACUUCAUAGAUUAAAAACAUGAUUAGCCACCUGUUUUUUAGAUUAUCUCUACUUCAGGUUCUCAAGGUUAACCUAUUGCUUUCCAAUGAAACAGGUGCCAACUGGAAUGGACCAC
rnacentral:lncRNA from 1 species